CCCUAACCUCCAGGAAAAGUCCCUUCCCCACGCAGUUCAGCCUUUGUUCCCGAGUCUCAAGGCCACAGGACCUAAACUCCCAGCUGGAGCUCCUGGAGCUCCAGCUGCUCUUUAUCACCAAGAGCAGUGGAGGCAGACCCCUAGCACAGUGGUAAGAAAGGAGGUUGGUCUUUGGCACGCAGGCUCCUGGGAUAGAGAGCCGUGUUAGAUCACACAAAGCCGUCAGGAGUGCCCGCAGCUCCCAACCUGGAGAACUGAAAACAUCCCCCAGCAGCUGCCAGCGUGAAGAGGCUCUGAAAUUACACACACAGGGGUCUGUGGUCCUGACCUCGCUCAUCCAUGAAACACUUCCCUCCCCCUCACUUCCCAUGGUGUCUUUAUCAAGGACGUGGGAAUCUGGGCCCAUCAGAAGAGGACAGUAGACAUGGGCAUCUGUGCCAAUCUGAAGGCUGGUGAUG